AUUGUUAGCCUUGCAGGUUUGGUCUGUCUUACCUUUUACCUUCAGGUGGAGUGGGGGAGCACCUGGACAAGAGUAUCGCUGGAUGAACUCAACACAUGAUCAGGUUGAUACGGAGCCAGCAUUCUUCCAGGUGCCAAGCCAUGGAGGCUCUUCAAGAUCAAGACCAACACCUUCAAUCAUGUUUAAAAACAGCCUGGCAACCAGUGGAGAUGAGCCAGAGUCAGCUGGAGCUACGCCCGCAUAGGUCCCUCAACCCAGUUGAGCUGGAGAUAUGCCAUCAUAAGCCCCUCACCCUGGUUCAGCUGGGGCUCAGCAGACAGAAGCCAGCCAAACGUGUCUUCCUUGCCAGGGUAAACCUUUCAUGAUUAAAAUCACCAGGUGCCUGCAACACACAAACAGCAGUGGCCUUAACACGUCUUGUUUGCCUGCUGAGAGGUGGAGCUCAGCAGUGACUCAUUUAAGAAGUACAGGCAUGCUGACAACAAUCUUCAGUGCUGAAUAUUUGGAGCGGGUGUUCUGCCCCACUUUGGGAGGAGGUGGUGGUAGCACUCCUGUUUCUGGAGAAUUACUACAGCAACAGUGAUUGAAACAAAACACGGCAUUCUACUGUUCUUUAGAAAUACAGAGACGUUGUGUUGAGGUUCCUGCUGCUGCUAUAUGAUGUGACAACAAGAUGGCAUAACAGAAAGACAAAUAGCUUUUUAAUAUGGGGAGGUUACAUAUUUGAUUGCAGGGUGGGUAGAUGAGAUAUGAAAAUUCAGCUUUGGAGAAAUAUAGAAACAGGAAGCGCAAGGCACUGGCAGCUCCUGUUAUUUUCAACAGGGAGAACGGCCAGCUGAAAAAGAGGCCAGGGCUCCUGUACCAUUACUAGUUGUGCAGAAGAAGGAAUUUUGGGGAAACUAUUAAAAGAUGUAGGAAUCCUGUCCACUUUUCUACAUGGCCACCCACCCACCCUAUGUCGGCAUCAGGUCUGAGAGGGCCCCCAGCAAAGUGCCCCUGGUGGGAUCCCCUCGGCACCGACCUGGCAAGCUUACCGGCAGCAGCUACAGUUGUUGUUGUUGGGCCCUUUAAAGCAGUGACCUGCCAGCUGCCUAGUGUUGUCACUUGAUAAGUGCAAUCCUCAUGUGGUGGAAAGGAGGGCAGGCUGAAAGCAAGUAUCAGCACCAGCCAUUCCUGCUGGAGCAGCUGCAGCUGGGUCUACUGUUUUCACCACAUCCAAAGCUGCUCUCGGUUGGAGUUUUAUCAUUUUUCUCAGGAAUAGAUGUGCUUCCUGGAGGAAUCCAUUCUUACAGUGCACAUCCAUUGCUGUCGUUUUUUUAAUUGUAGAAAAGUGGGUGGCAUGAAUGCCAUGGGCACCUAUGAGAUUGUCAGUGAUGUCAAUGCUGAUGAAUAACACAACUCC